rnacentral:rRNA from 1 species
CGACGGGUGAGUAACGCGUGGAAAACCUGCCGUAUACUGGGGGAUAACACUUAGAAAUAGGUGCUAAGUACCGCAUAAGCGCACAGCUUCGCAUGAAGCGGUGUGAAAAACUCUGGUGGUAUACGAUGGUUCCGCGUCUGAUUAGCUAGUUGGUGGGGUAAUGGCCUACCAAGGCAACGAUCAGUAGCCGGCCUGAGAGGGUGAACGGCCACAUUGGGACUGAGACACGGCCCAAACUCCUACGGGAGGCAGCAG